AUGAACGCUGGCGGCGUGCCUCAUCCAUGCAAGUCGAGCGAACAGACGAGGAGCUUGCUCCUCUGACGUUAGCGGCGGACGGGUGAGUAACACGUGGAUAACCUACCUAUAAGACUGGGAUAACUUCGGGAAACCGGAGCUAAUACCGGAUAAUAUAUUGAACCGCAUGGUUCAAUAGUGAAAGACGGUUUUGCUGUCACUUAUAGAUGGAUCCGCGCCGCAUUAGCUAGUUGGUAAGGUAACGGCUUACCAAGGCGACGAUGCGUAGCCGACCUGAGAGGGUGAUCGGCCACACUGGAACUGAGACACGGUCCAGACUCCUACGGGAGGCAGCAGUAGGGAAUCUUCCGCAAUGGGCGAAAGCCUGACGGAGCAACGCCGCGUGAGUGAUGAAGGUCUUCGGAUCGUAAAACUCUGUUAUUAGGGAAGAACAAAUGUGUAAGUAACUAUGCACGUCUUGACGGUACCUAAUCAGAAAGCCACGGCUAACUACGU
rnacentral:rRNA from 1 species